rnacentral:rRNA from 1 species
GUGGGGAAUAUUGGACAAUGGGGGGAACCCUGAUCCAGCCAUGCCGCGUGUGUGAAGAAGGCCUUUUGGUUGUAAAGCACUUUAAGCGAGGAGGAGGCUACCGAGAUUAAUACUCUUGGAUAGUGGACGUUACUCGCAGAAUAAGCACCGGCUAACUCUGUGCCAGCAGCCGCGGUAAUACAGAGGGUGCAAGCGUUAAUCGGAUUUACUGGGCGUAAAGCGCGCGUAGGUGGCCAAUUAAGUCAAAUGUGAAAUACCCGAGCUUAACUUGGGAAUUGCAUGCGAUACUGGUUGGCUAGAGUAUGGGAGAGGAUGGUAGAAUUCCAGGUGUAGCGGUGAAAUGCGUAGAGAUCUGGAGGAAUACCGAUGGCGAAGGCAGCCAUCUGGCCUAAUACUGACACUGAGGUGCGAAAGCAUGGGGAGCAAACAGGAUUAGAUACCUAGUAGUCC